rnacentral:rRNA from 1 species
UACGGAGGGUGCGAGCGUUGUCCGGAAUCACUGGGCGUAAAGGGCGCGUAGGUGGCGGAUCAAGUCAACGGUGAAAGCUCGGCGCUCAACGCCGAGUCGGCCGUCGAUACUGGCUCGCUCGAGCACUGUAGAGGCAGAUGGAAUUCCGGGUGUAGCGGUGGAAUGCGUAGAGAUCCGGAAGAACACCGGUGGCGAAGGCGGUCUGCUGGGCAGUUGCUGACACUGAGGCGCGACAGCGUGGGGAGCAAACAGG